GUGCCAGCCGCCGCGGUAAUACGGGGGGGGCAAGCGUUGUUCGGAAUUAUUGGGCGUAAAGGGAGCGUAGGCGGUGUGGCAAGUCUGGUGUGAAAUCUCCGAGCUUAACUCGGAGCGGUCAUCAGAAACUGCCAUGCUCGAGUGUGGGAGAGGAGAGUGGAAUUCCCGGUGUAGCGGUGAAAUGCGUAGAUAUCGGGGGGAACACCAGUGGCGAAGGCGGCUCUCUGGACCACAACUGACGCUGAGGCUCGAAAGCUAGGGGAGCAAACAGGAUUAGAAACCCGGGUAGUCC
rnacentral:rRNA from 1 species